UAUUUCAGAACAAUGACGGGCUCCAAGAUGCUGUUCGGAUGUAUGGCGUUAAUUGCUUUUCUGCAUCCAUUAGUUCACGUGGCGUCAGCUCAAGAAUGUACCACGCCGAACAAUCAAACAGGCAAGUGUCUUGGCAUCAGAGUAUGUAAACCACUGCUGGAAAUGCUGCAGACACAAGGCCAAGCAGCUGUCGAUUUUCUGAGGCGAUCAGUGUGCAAAUACGAGAAUAAUAACCCGAUCGUUUGUUGUCCGAACGAACAAAGCAGGGAGGACAGAGGAAUUUUGGAAGAAAACGAGUAUGGGCCUUUGCGUCCACCACAAUGUGGUUUUAGCAACAUCUCUCAUACCAGGGUGGUCGGUGGUAAACCAGCUGAACUUGGCGCUUGGCCAUGGAUUGCUGCAUUAGGUUUUCAUUAUCCCAGAAACCCAGUUCUUGAACCAUUAUGGAAGUGCGGAGGUUCCCUGAUAUCGUCUAGGCAUGUUUUAACCGCAGCACAUUGUGCAGAAAUCAAUGAAUUGUACGUGGUUCGUAUCGGUGACUUAAAUCUAGUACGAAAUGACGACGGAGCGCAUCCUGUUCAAAUAGAAAUCGAAUCUAAAAUAAUACAUCCUGAUUAUAUUUCCGGGGUAACCAAACAUGAUAUCGCCAUUCUUAAAUUGGUGGAGCAGGUGCAAUUUUCAGAAUACGUAUAUCCCAUUUGUCUUCCCGUAGAGGAUAAUCUUCGAAAUAACAACUUCGAGCGCUAUUACCCCUUCGUUGCUGGAUGGGGAUCAGUAGGACAUCAUGGACCCGGUAGUGAUGAUUUAAUGGAAGUACAAGUGCCAGUGGUUAGCAACACCGAAUGCAAGAACUCUUAUGCCAGAUUUGCUACUGCACAUGUCACUGAUAACGUAUUAUGCGCCGGAUACACUCAGGGCGGAAAGGAUGCUUGUCAAGGUGACAGCGGGGGACCACUGAUGCUACCAAAGAAAUUCACCUUCUAUCAAAUAGGUGUUGUGUCUUAUGGUUUUAAGUGCGCCGCAGCUGGAUAUCCUGGCGUUUACACUAGGGUCACAUCGUACCUUGACUUCAUUCUCCAAGCGAUGCAAUAAUACGAUUAUUAAUGUUAUAUAAAUAUCAUUUUUCGUAUACGAAAAGUAAAGUUAGAUUUUCUUGUUGUGGAGAUAAGAGACAGCUCAAAUUUAUAUUGCUUUGUACGUCAAGAAUUAUAGCCUUAAAAUGCAUGUGAUGUAACUUUGAAACGACACUAAUUUCUUACGCACGUCAAAUCUGCACAACUUAGAUAUGUAAAGGUGAUAAAUGAACAUUAAUUAAAUUUCUAUUAAUUUUGGUAAUAAUAAAU